GAUAACAGCCAUAUCACCUUGCAGCCCAAAACCGGUUACUUCAUGAAGAUAAGCAGGGCUGAGCCUGGCCAGUACCUGGCUGGGAGACCACAUGGCAAACAUAGGUUGCUGUUGGAA
ensembl:rRNA 5S_rRNA 5S ribosomal RNA